GCCCCCCGCGGAGCCCGCGGAAGUUCGGGGAGCGCGGAGCGGCGCGGAGAGGCGCGGAGCGGAGCGAGGAGCGUUGAAGCUUCAGUGAAGUUGGGCCUCAGCGCAUCUGCCUCGUGAACGCUGGACAGAAACGUUAGAAGCGCUGCCACAGUGACUUACCAGAGGGGCCUGUAGCUCUGGAGCGGCCUUGGCCAUGCCAAGAAACCCCUUGGGAUGAAUUCCUUUUUUGUGCACAUUGCUGGUCAUAGCCAUGUAAUAAUGCAGCCUUGCCUCGCCACUUGCAUGAACUUUGCUCUUAAGUAGAGCCCGAGCCAUUUCUAAACAAAGGCCUAAAUGUGAAAUUACAGUCAACUUCCAUGCCUAUGUUAUUACGAGAUUUUAAUUUUUCUAGGGAAUGAACAAUAGCAACUAUUUGGCUGCGCUGUUUUCCCGGGCGCUGGCACAAUGUGCAUCUUCUGUAAACUGACAUCUCAUGAUUUUGUCUGAAAAUGGAAUAUUUAACUGCGCACAUUUUCUUCUCUCAUAUUGGGUUUCAUUCAAAUGGUCUUAAACUUGUAUUUCUUUAUUGCUUAUUAACUUUAAUGAGGUAUGAAUAUAAAAGAGAAUAUUAAAAGGCUUUUCUUUUUCAAAAAGGCAUUUCUUUACAAACAGUGUUGACGUUAUCAAGUAGGUGAGUCUAAGCCCUUAAAUUUAUUUUUGAUCUUGUAGUCAUUAAAAAAAGAAUAUGAGAUUAAAAAACCUUCAAAUUAGGCAACUAGGAUUAAAAGCUUUCUAUUGUUUGGCUUAAUAACACAAUUUAAGUGUGAAUACUUCAGAAGUGUAGGAAGCCUUUAUGCUUCCAUACCUUAUGUAUUUUGUUUAUUUCUAUGAAAGUACUUUAAAGAUUUAAAUCUCCUACAGCAAAUAAACUAUGCUCAUGCUUGGAAAACGAGAUACUGCGAGGGAUUUUGGGCUUGGAAAUAUUCUGAGUAUCUAUUAUGCAUAAAAAUAAAAAUUUCUGAAGACAAAUGCACAACAGUCAUUACAAGUUUUGUUUUUCUAUAUUCCUAAGUUUGGUGUAUUUUCUUUUAACAAAUUAUUUUGGGUGCAACACAAGCACAGGAAUAUCCUUCUUUCAGUGUCUGAUCCGCUGAGCCAAUGUGCCUUAUUAACAAUACAUGAGGAGCGUACCUAAAUAUAUUUAAGGAAAUUCAACUUGACUCUCGUUAUUUACAAUUCAAAUGUUCAAUCUUGCUUUGGAAAUCUGAUUUUCAGUGUACGUUAAAUAAACAUGUUUUAUAUGAAGAGGCAUCUCCUU
ensembl:lncRNA